UACGAAGGGGGCUAGCGUUGUUCGGAAUUACUGGGCGUAAAGCGCACGUAGGCGGAUUGUUAAGUUAGGGGUGAAAUCCCGGGGCUCAACCCCGGAACUGCCUUUAAUACUGGCAAUCUCGAGUCCGAGAGAGGUGAGUGGAAUUCCGAGUGUAGAGGUGAAAUUCGUAGAUAUUCGGAGGAACACCAGUGGCGAAGGCGGCCCACUGGCUCGGUACUGACGCUGAGGUGCGAAAGCGUGGGGAGCAAACAGG
rnacentral:rRNA from 1 species